rnacentral:tRNA from 1 species
GUGGCUGUGGCUCAGCGGUAGAGCGAUCACCUAGCAAGUGCGAGGAGCUGGGUUAGAUCCUCAGCACCACG